GAGGAUUUUGCGUCGCCAUUUCAUUUGUGAAAAAGUAGUUGGCGUCUGUGGAACUGGUGGAACUAUCUUAUCUUGAGCCGACGCAUGCGACAGGGACGGUUUUUAGCAGACAGCAGUUUUUUCCGAGUGAACAGCAGAGAGGGCUCGUGCAGUUAAUCGACGAUACAGUCCGAUUACUUGACGUGUAUCAGUCGGUAUUGCAUAAACUUCCCGUACUGGCAAAUAGUUUGAAGGAAUUCGACGAUCCGGUCAUUACGUCACGUUUAUCGUCGUGACGAAGCUUCUACACACGCAGCGGAUGGGAAAAGGCGGAUACCAUUUCGAAAAGCACGAUGGUGAACGGGGCUGGCAUUUUGCCUUCGACGGAGUUCGAUUUCCAUAUGUGCACCAGCAACCAUCGCAUUACUUCCAGUGCGACGGUAACCGCUUUGACUCGGACGAGAUCCAUUGUAGGCCCGGCAGGUCAUGUUGAAUUUGAUCCAGUGCAUUCUGCAACAAAAUUACGUUCCGUAGAAUGGAGAAAACAAAAAAUAAAUCUAACAGAAAAUUUAACGGAAAUCAACAUUCAUCGCAAAUCAAACGUAGAUUGGAUCGAGUCACUAUUGAUGCGUCGCAGCAUCAGCCGUACAAAUUCGACAAUUAUUCGAAUCUGUUCCCGCACGGCAAAUAUAUGUUAUGUCGCUGAUGAACCUGAAUUCGGUUGCGCUGACGCUGUCGCCUUCUUCGACCUGCUGAAAAACCUGCAAUAAUGUAGCAAACAUCAAGGCGAGGAGUCAGCUCCAACCGAAUUCUUCAACGGGCUGGAGUAAAAACGACACGAUGGUGAAGGGUUCUGUCACGUUUUGUGCAAAUUCGUAUCGUACAUGGUGUUUAAGGCACUGAAAAGAUACAACCUGUUGAACAGGUUUCCCGCAAUGGUCAAAUCGAGCCAAAGAAAAUAUUUAUCUAUCUGGCCUUUGGUCCAGUUGUUGCUGGACGGGAGUAACGCAUCUGUUGGUCCUGGUUGGAUAACAGUCUGGUACGACCACUGGUGAGUGACGACACAGAACAUCCGCAACAAUCCGAUGUACGCCCUGCGCCAAUCGGCGACAAGCAGUUUUACGAAUCGAAAUUUAGACCGAACAACGUAUAACUGUAUUGCAUAAACUUCCCGCACCAGCAACUAGUUUGAAGGAAUUCGACGAUCCGGUCAUUACGUCACGUUUAUCGUCGUGAUGAAGCUUCUACAUACGCAGUGGAUGGGAAAAGGCGGAUAUCAAUUCGAAAAGCACGAUGGUGAACGGGGCUGGCAUUUUGCCCUCGACGGAGUUCGAUUUCCAUAUGUGCACCAGCAACCAUAGCAUUACUUCCAGUGCGACGGUAACUGCUUUGACUCGGAUGAGAUCCAUUGUAGCCCCGACAGGUCAUGUUGAAUUUGAUCCAGUGCAUUCUGCAACAAAAUUACGUUCCGUAGAAUGGAGAAAACAAAAAACAAAUCUAACAGAAAAUUUAACGGAAAUCAACAUUCAUCGCAAAUCAAACGUAGAUUGGAUCGAGUCACUAUUGAUGCGUCGCAGCAUCAGCCGUACAAAUUCGACAAUUAUUCGAAUCUGUUCCCGCACGGCGAAUAUAAAUUAUGUCGCUAAUGAAACUGAAUUCGGUUGCGCUGACGCUGUCGGCUUCAUCGACAUGCUGAAAGGCCUGCAAUAAGGUAGUAAACAUCAAGGCGGAGGAGUCAGCUCUAAACGAAUUCUUCAGUUGGCUGGAGUAAAAACGACUCGAUCACGUUUUGCUUAUCUACCACGAGUAGAUGAAAAGAUACAACCUGUUGAACGGGUUUCCCGCAAUGGUCAAAUUGAGCCGGAGAAAAUAUUUCUCUAACUGACAUUGCAGUGCAGUUGUUACUGGACGGGAGUAACGUGUCUGUUGGACCUGGUUGGAUAACAAUCUGGUACGACCACUGGUGAGUGACGACACAGAACAUCCGCAACAAUCCGAUGUAGGCCGUGUGCCAAUCGGCGACAAGCAGUCUUUCGAGUCGAAAUCUUGGCCGAACAACGUAUAGCAGCAUUGCCUAAACUUCCCGUACCAGAUUGAAGGUAAAUUCUCUAUAAUGCAUGCAACCACAAUUAAUAAGUUCUGUUAUAGGAAUUCGACGAUCCGGUCAUUACGUCAUGUUUAUCGUCGUGACGAAGCAUCUACUCACGCAGCGGAUGGGAAAAGGCGGGUACCAUUUCGAAAAGCACGAUGGUGGACGAUGCUAGAAUUUUUGCCCUUGACGGAGCUCAAUUUCUAUGUGUUCACCAACAACUAUCGCACUACUUCCAGUGCGACGGUAACCGCCUUAACUCGGACGAGAUACAUUGUAGGCCCGGCAGGUCAUGUUGAAUUUGAUCCAGUGCAUUCUGCAACAAAAUUACGUUCCGUAGAAUGGAGAAAACAAAAAAACAAAUCUAACAGAAAAUUUAACGGAAAUCAACAUUCAUCGCAAAUCAAACGUAGAUUGGAUCGAGCCACUAUUGAUGCGUCACAGCAUCAGCCGUACAAAUUCGACAAUUAUUCGAAUCUGUUCCCGCACGGCAAAGAUAUGUUAUGUCGCUGAUGAACCUGAAUUUGGUUGCGCUGACGCUGUCGCCUUCUUCGAUAUGCUGAAAGGCCUGCAAUAAGGUAGUAAACAGAAAUGCGUAGGAGUCAGCUCUAAACGAAUUCUUCAUUUGGCUGGAGUAAAAACGACUCGAAGAUGAAGGUCCUAUCACGUUUUGCUUAUCUACCACGAAUAGUGCAAAUUUGUCUCGCACAUGGUGUUCAAGGCACUGUACAACCUGUGAAAUGGGUUUCCCGCAACGGUCAAAUUGAGCCGAAGAAAAUAUUUCUCUAACUGACAUUGCAGUGCAGUUGUUACUGAA